rnacentral:rRNA from 1 species
UACGUAGGGUGCAAGCGUUGUCCGGAAUUAUUGGGCGUAAAGAGCUCGUAGGCGGCGGGUCACGUCGGGUGUGAAAGCCCGGGGCUUAACCCCGGGUCUGCAUUCGAUACGGGUCUGCUGGGGUCCGGCAGGGGAGACUGGAAUUCCUGGUGUAGCGGUGAAAUGCGCAGAUAUCAGGAGGAACACCGGUGGCGAAGGCGGGUCUCUAGUACGGUACUGACGCUGAGACGCGAAAGCGUGGGGAGCGAACAGG